rnacentral:rRNA from 1 species
AGUGAAGCGGCACAGCUCAAAUUUGAAAGCUGGCCUUCGGGUCCGCAUUGUAAUUUGUAGAGGAUGCUUUGGGUGAAACGCCAGUCUAAGUUCCUUGGAACAGGACGUCAUAGAGGGUGAGAAUCCCGUAUGUGACUGGAAAUGUUAACCUAUGUAAAGCUCCUUCGACGAGUCGAGUUGUUUGGGAAUGCAGCUCUAAAUGGGAGGUAAAUUUCUUCUAAAGCUAAAUAUUGGCGAGAGACCGAUAGCGCACAAGUAGAGUGAUCGAAAGAUGAAAAGCACUUUGGAAAGAGAGUUAAAAAGCACGUGAAAUUGUUGAAAGGGAAGCGCUUGCAAUCAGACUUGUUUAAACUGUUCGGCCGGUCUUCUGACCGGUUUACUCAGUUUGGACAGGCCAGCAUCAGUUUCGGCGGCCGGAUAAAGGCUCUGGGAAUGUGGCCUUCACUUCGGUGAAGGUGUUAUAGCCCAGGGUGUAAUACGGCCAGCCGGGACUGAGGUCCGCGCUUCGGCUAGGAUGCUGGCGUAAUGGUUGUAAGCGACCCGUCUUG